CCCAGCCUCGCUGCCGCCUUGCAGUUUGAUCUCAGACUGCUGUGCUAGCAAUCAGCGAGACUCCGUGGGCGUAGGACCCUCUGAACCAGUGAGAUGAAGCCGGUACCUCAGAUGGAAAUGCGGAAAUCACCGUCUUCUGUGUCGCUCAGGCUGGGAGCUGUAGACCGGAGCUGUUCCUAUUCGGCCAUCUUGGCUCCUCUCCCUCUUUAAAGUGAAUGUGAUUUUGAAGAAAGGAGGAAAGAUGUGAAAAGUGAUUGGUCAGCCACAUUCAUGGUGUUGAGAAAAGAAUUUGCUUUUCUGGAACAUAGCCUGUGAUAGCAGAACAACACCUGGCAAGAAACAGGUUAUGUUUGGCUGGAGAGUCAUUGGCACUAUCAAGAAAUAUUAAAGUGUAGAUUUGAGAGAGGAGGAGAAAGACCCAAGCAAAAUUGAAAACCAGGUGGGACCCAGACAGCAGCAAAGCAAUGGAAGCAUGUAUUUUGGUCAAUAUAGAGUUAAUACACAAUUUUGCCCCUCUUCUUCUGAUCAUGGGACUCAUAUUACCAGUCUUCACAUUUCCUUUAAAUUCAGGAAUCAGGAAGAAUUUCCAGAGUUUGCAGAUGGACACAUUUGCUGCUUCCAUUCUAAACAUAAGUUAGAAGAACCUUUCAACUGGAUUCCAACUUUAAUAUGUCACAAACAUAAAAAAGAAAGCUAUUUCCUGGACUUUUCUUCAUUAGAAAUUAAUAGAUUGUCAAUUGGCAUAGGGAAAAGAUAAUCAACAGAUGCCAACCCCAAGUUAACAGAAAUGCUAAAAUUAUAAGACAAAGACUUCAAAAUAGCUAUUUUAAUUUUGCCUAGUGAGGUAAAUGCAAACAUGCUCACUAUGAAUGAAAACAGGUAAUCUCAGCAGUCAUGUAAACUAUAAAAAUAAGCAAAUAUAAAUUUUAGAAUUAAAACACAAUAUCUAAAAAUAAAUUCACCUGAUAUUCUCAAUAGAAAAAAUGGUAAUGCAGAGAAAAAUGUAUGAAAAUAUGGCAAUUUGAAGAAGAGAGAAGAGAUCAAUAAAAUAAAUAAGUAUAUCCUUGGAGACCUGUGGAUGUUUUUUGAAAAGUGAAUCAUGUAAGUAAUUGAAGUCCCA
ensembl:lncRNA CASC9 cancer susceptibility 9